rnacentral:rRNA from 1 species
AGAGUUUGAUCCUGGCUCAGGACGAACGCUGGCGGCGUGCCUAAUACAUGCAAGUCGAGCGGACUGGAGAGAGCUUGCUCUCGAAGGUCAGCGGCGGACGGGUGAGUAGCACGUGGGUAACCUGCCUGGCAGACUGGGAUAACGCUUGGAAACGAGUGCUAAUACCGGAUAAUCUCCUGAAUCGCAUGGUUCAAGAGUAAAAGGAGCUUUUGCUUCACUGCCAGAUGGACCCGCGGCGCAUUAGCUAGUUGGUGAGGUAACGGCUCACCAAGGCGACGAUGCGUAGCCGACCUGAGAGGGUGACCGGCCACACUGGGACUGAGACACGGCCCAGACUCCUACGGGAGGCAGCAGUAGGGAAUCUUCCGCAAUGGGCGCAAGCCUGACGGAGCAACGCCGCGUGAGUGAUGAAGGCCUUCGGGUUGUAAAACUCUGUCUUCUGUGAAGAACCAUCCUGUGCAGGGAAAGCUCAGGACCUGACGGUAACAGAGGAGGAAGCCCCGGCUAACUACGUGCCAGCAGCCGCGGUAAUACGUAGGGGGCGAGCGUUGUCCGGAAUCACUGGGCGUAAAGCGCGCGCAGGCGGUCUUUCACGUCCGGGGUGAAAGCCCAGAGCUCAACUCUGGGAUUGCCUUGGAUACGGGGAGACUUGAGGAUCGGAGAGGCAAGGGGAAUUCCACGUGUAGCGGUGAUAUGCGUAGAGAUGUGGAGGAACACCUGUGGCGAAGGCGCCUUGCUGGCCGAUUUCUGACGCUGAGGCGCGAAAGCGUGGGGAGCAAACAGGAUUAGAUACCCCGGUAGUCC